rnacentral:lncRNA from 1 species
GCACACCUAGCUCAAGCUAGUAAAACUAGUUUUUCGGGUUGAACUCUAAAUUACUCAAUUAAGCACAAAUUUGUUUGAAAAAUACUUUGGACAUUGUAAUCACAUACUUGGACACUUAAAUUCUUAUUUAUAUAAAUAUUAACACGUUAAGAACAUGAAUAUAUCUCAAAACAAGGCGAAAUAAGCUAGAAUAAUGAUACAAAAGUGUAUAAAAUUACCUCAGAUCAUCACCCCA